rnacentral:rRNA from 1 species
UGGGGAAUCUUGGACAAUGGGCGCAAGCCUGAUCCAGCCAUGCCGCGUGGAUGAUGAAGGCCUUAGGGUUGUAAAAUCCUUUCGUUGGGGACGAUAAUGACGGUACCCAAAGAAGAAGCUCCGGCUAACUUCGUGCCAGCAGCCGCGGUAAUACGAAGGGGGCUAGCGUUGUUCGGAUUUACUGGGCGUAAAGCGCGUGUAGGCGGGUCGUUAAGUUGGGGGUGAAAUCCCGAGGCUCAACCUCGGAACUGCCUUCAAAACUGGCGACCUGGACCUAAGUAGAGGCAAGUGGAAUUGCGAGUGUAGAGGUGAAAUUCGUAGAUAUUCGCAGGAACACCAGUGGCGAAGGCGACUUGCUGGACUUAUGGUGACGCUGAGACGCGAAAGCGUGGGGAGCAAACAGGAUUAGAUACCCAUGUAGUCCCUGAGCGGGCUGGCAAGGCGC